UUUGCCUUUGUAGGGCAGUACAGGCAGCCAACUAAAGAUUGAAUGGACAUGUUUGAAUAAUCAUCAUGGCAAGUGGGCAUCAUGUCCUGAUGCAAGAGGAAUGGCACAGAAUAACCUGCUUGUUUCCGCUGCUACGCUUUUCUCUGGAACAACUUUCACUGAAGUACACGAGUGGGCCAGCAUCCUAAACUUGCAACUCUUGAAGAAAUCGCAGUACUACUCCAUCCAAUCCGACUACCUUAUUCCAGUAGUACACUUUGCAUACAAAGAUCAUCAUGAGAAUCUCAUCAGGCGACUUAUUGGACAAAAGGCUGAAGGCGAGUCCAUAGAGCUGUGUGGAGAUGCCAGGUCUGACUCACCAGGCUACAGCUGCAAGUAUUCCACCUAUUCGUUUCAGCUUCUAUCCAGUAAUGAGAUCAUUCACUUUGAACUACUACAGACAGUGCCGGCUUCCUGUGUUGUCCAGGCCAUCAGAGCUAAUUACCCAGCACAAGAUUGGCAGUACCGUGGCUACCAGGAGACAGCAGAUGCUAUUUUGACUCUAGCAAACGCACC
ensembl:lncRNA